CCAUAUAGCCGACCCCAAAUUUUGGGAUAAAAGUUUAGUUUAGUUGAGUUGAGUUGAGUUUAUGUUGCAUUUAGUAAUUUUAUGCUCAUUUGACCAUCAAUUUACUUUAAACCAGUUAAUCAGUGAAGGAUUCACAGUGUAAGUGGAGAUGAAGUAGCGAAUCCAAAAGUUUAAAGUUUUAUUCAGAUGGGAUGUAAAACAUAACUGAAGCAAAACCAAAAUAGGAGAUGCUUUUUGUAACACUUUGUUAAUUACAGAAGAAGAGAAGGGACAGAUAAGUAAACAAUUCUAUGAGUUAGUUAUACCUUUAUGUUCUCUAUGCAUGCUAGCUUGAAUUCAAAAGUUCUAACAAACUUCUGGUAUAAAAGAAAAAUGUAACAAAGACGUAUUCAUUGAAUUGAUAAUAGAAAACUCUCAGCUUCUCUCUUUUCUGUAAUUUUCUCUGAUUCUCUCUUCUGCUCUUCCUCUAUCAUCUUUUGUCUUUCUUUCUUCUCAAUACUUCUCUAGAUUGAAUUUCAGUCCUAACACACUUCACAACAUGAUCCAAAUCAUAUAUUAAACACUGGCUAUCAGCUUGCCAUUUAGGUGAGCUGGACCGUCUAACUAGCAAGUUAUUUGGUAUGCUAGAUUUUUUCCCUCUGGAUUAAUAUGCUUCCAACUAUCACUUUACACUAUUGGUAUAGUUAUCAUUAGUGAUGUUUCAUUAUCUUGUAUAAGUUAUUAUUUGUUCUUCUAGGAUGGGAAUUUUGAAGUUAAAGCUUUCUAAUAUUCUUUUCCAACAGAAGCAUGCCCCUUUUGCAGGAGGGUCCGAGAAGCCCUGACUGAGCUAGAUCUUUCAGCCGAGGUGUAUCCUUGUCCAAAGGGCUCCAUAAGACAUAGGGAAAUGGUCAGAAAAUUUGGUGGCAAAGAGCAGUAUGUAAUUCCUUCAGUGUGGUUGUGCCAGAUAUUGUACAAUUUUUCUGUCAGAUUGAAGAUCCAAGAUAUUUGAUCCUUUGUCAUGCCUAUCGGUUCAUCGUGUAUACAUUAAAGGAGCAUAAAUAAAGUAAAUAAUAUGCCAAAAUAAUACAUGCAAGAUAGUGCACAGUUACCUUUGGUGGUGAUUUUUUUUUUUAUUGAUUUGUUGGUAACUUGGUUUCAUUCAAGCAUCCUAUUGUUGUGCCUUGCUCUAUUGCAUUACUUCUCUUUUUCUGUAAAUUUUGUUUAGUUACGACAUUGCCCUGCAGGUUUCCUUUUCUAAUUGACCCAAACACCAGGAUUUCAAUGUAUGAAAGUGGUAAGUGAUUUACCAGUCCUUAGACACUAUUUUGUUUGUUUGUUUUUCUUUACAAUUUCCUUUUGGUGUUAGACUUAGAAUUGUUAUAGGAUUUGUGGAUAAUCAAUUUUUCUUGCACCUUUAAAUAUAAUGGUUAUUCUGUACUCAAAAUAUGUACAUCUGCUACUCCAUCCUCUUUACCUUUCGACUCAAUACCAGUCAUUUAAUUGACAAGUGUAAUGAAGUAUAGAACACAGUGAUGGGAGAAAAUGCAGUAAAUGCAAAAUUAUUCUACACAAACACUUGGUUUAAUGAGUUACUACAGCUGCAUUGCCAUAGUGUAGCUGUAGUGAGUCACUAUACUUAGUAUCAUUCAUUAUUCUAUUGUAAUAGGGGUAACCAUUCAUUUUCUUCAGGUUAGAUAGCUAAAUUGUGCUUCCUAUUGUGAUUGGUCAAAACUCAUGAAAAUAAUAAUAUUAUUCUACUGAAAGUCAAUUUAAAAAAUAACCAAUAUGAAAGACCUGUUAAUCCGUGGUUCAGUUUGCAAUUUGUUCAAAAUUUACUUAUGAGCGGUCAUGUUCUGAUUGAGAAGAUUGAUUAUUUUCUCCCUUUUAAUUUUUUUUUUGUCUUUUUUAAGCAUGUACAGGUAUAAUUGUCAGCUUUGCAUCAGGUGUCACAUUUUUUGAGGGCCUAUUUAUAUAACACCAUCUUUUUCUACUCUUGUUGAUAGGUGACAUUGUAAAAUAUCUAUUUCUGGAAUAUGGUAGAGGGAGAAGCCCCUCAAUGGGGCUUUUGGAAAGGUGUUAAACCUUCACAUUAAUCUAACUGGCCAAGACUGUUUUCUUUUCUUUUUUGCUUUUUUCUAAUAUCAAUCUCUCCCUCUUCCUUCCCUCCCUCCCUUUCUCUCUGUCCAGCACAUUGUUCACAGGAUGGAUGCCAACAAUUCUUCGAACUGGCAGAGGAAUGACCAAGUGGGAAAGGGCCAGACUAGAUCCACCAUCUGAGAAGUUGGAACUUUUCUCAUAUGAGAACAAUCAGGCAUGAAAUUGCUUUCUCAUAUAUUGCAGAUCUGUGUAAUUUAAUUAAUACCAUGGUAUACUGAAAACUAGUUUCUCCUCUUCUGAGAUCAAGAGAGAGAAAAAAAAGGCUAGGGACUGUAGGGUUCAUAUUUGUAGAAAAGUUUCUGAAAUACCAAAUAAACUUUUUAUGGAUUAAUUUUUUGGUUAAAACAAGGUUAAGAAAAGUACUAACACCUAACAAAAGAUUACAUGCAUCUCAUCUGCUUUAAGCAACAAUUUCAAAUCUUUUUAUGGAUUGUAAGACUCAUUUUAUUAAUUAUUAUUUUUUCUAAAAAAACAAUUAUUCUACAAGUUAAAACAAAAUGCUUUCCACAUACAAAAACAAUAAGAAAUUAUCGCAGAAACACUUUUAUCUUUGAUCAGUAUCAAAGUAUGCCUCUGAGGGUAGAAAGUGUAGAUAGCUGCCUUCUUCUGUUCCUCUUUCAAUUUUAGUAUUCUUUAUUUUUUUUUUUCCUUUAUGGUGUAUACUCCCAAAGUUGUUUUUUAAUAAAUGAAUUCUUUAAUUUGUAGCACGGCUGAAAUGUUGAGGUGUUAAAUUCACAAAUAAGAUUAAAUCAUGUUAUUUCAAAGAAAGAAUUUGUACUUGCUACAUACAGAAAUGUAAUCUAUAUAUAUAUUUUUCAUCUACUUAGUAAUUUUGUGUGGACUUAAUAUGUUCUCUUCCCUCUUAAUAGUAUGCCAGACUUGUGCGUGAGGCACUAUGUGAAUUGGAGCUCCCAUAUAUCCUUCAAAACGUCGGAGCAGGAUCUCAGAGGACAAAUUUGCUGCUUGAGGUAUCUGGAUCCCAAGAGGUCAGCUUCCUUAAAAUGACAUUUAUGUGACCCACAAUUUUGUAGCCAGAUAUAUUUGUUUCCCAUGUUGCCACCGAAAGACAGCAAAGCACUACAUAUGUAUCCUUUUAUGCCUUGUUUUAUCCAAGCUCCUGUGGAGGGCAAUGCUUUAAUAGGAACUUCAACCUCGACCAUGAAAGGAUAUAAACUUACAAAAUAUGUUAACACGUUUUGAAAAGGUUCUUUCCAUUUUAAUCUUGCAGGUUCCAUUUUUAGUUGAUCCCAACACUGGCGCUCAAAUUGGUGACUACAAGAAUAUCUUGGCAUAUUUAUUCAAUACAUAUUCAGCAGCUGCAACAUAGUUUCAACUUCUGAUAUCUACCACUUGAAAACGCCAGUGGCGGCAAUUUCAUGCACAUACUGUAGUAUUUGUAUUAUAAUAUCGUGUGAUAUGUUAACUGUUGUUUAUAUAUUAAAUAUUAUUUACAUUUUAUCCCGUGAUGAAACUAGCAGCCACCCUUUUCCACUCAAGCCCUGUUGGUUUCUUUGAAAAUGUGGGAGGAAAAUGGAAAGGGCUAGCCGGCUACAGCUUGGUCUAAACCAGCCUUUUCUGAGAUUUACCCGAGGCAAAAUGUAUAAUAGACGUAUUGUUAAUGGUAACUAGGUGGUUGACACUAGGGCUGUGCACGAUUCUCGGGAGUUUUGAAUUAAAUCAAAGAACCGUAUCAAAC
rnacentral:misc_RNA from 1 species